CGCCGGUUGCUGCUGAUCGGAGGGCUGUUGCUGAUCUGCCGGCUGCU
rnacentral:sRNA from 1 species